rnacentral:rRNA from 1 species
UACGGAGGGUGCAAGCGUUUGUUCGGAUUUAUUGGGCGUAAAGCGCGUGUAGGCGGUCUUCUAAGUCUGAUGUGAAAGCCCUGGGCUCAACCCAGGAAGUGCAUUGGAUACUGGACGACUUGAAUACGGGAGAGGGUAGUGGAAUUCCUAGUGUAGGAGUGAAAUCCGUAGAUAUUAGGAGGAACACCGGUGGCGAAGGCGGCUACCUGGACCGAUAUUGACGCUGAGGCGCGAAAGCUAGGGGAGCAAACGGG